CUAUCUCACACAGCUCCUUGCUUGUCGACUCACUCUCCUUUCCCUGUUCUCUCUUUCUCCACAGAUGACUGCUGGGACAUAAAGGCACAAUGAAUCGGUCUCCAAUGGUUCUCUCACCUCUGCGCUGACUACAGCUUUGGAUGACUGCUGGGACAUAAAGGCACAAUGAAUCGGUCUCCAAUGGUUCUCUCACCUCUGCGCUGACUACAGCUUUGGGUGACUGCUGGAACACAAGGCACAAUGAAUCGAUUCUCCAAUGGUUCUCUCACCUCUGCGCUGACUACAGCUUUGGAUGACUGCUGGGACAUAAAGGCACAAUGAAUCGGUCUCCAAUGGUUCUCUCACCUCUGCGCUGACUACAGCUUUGGGUAGGUAUGGCUCUCUUCACAGUUCGGUAUCUCAGUGCUCACGCUGGCUCUUUCUCUCUCUCUCCACAGAUGACUGCUGGGACAUAAAGGCACAAUGAAUCGGUCUCCAAUGGUUCUCUCACCUCUGCGCUGACUACAGCUUUGGGUAGGUAUGACUCUCUGCACAGUUCCGUAUCUCAGUGCUCACGCUGGCUCUUUCUCUCUCUCUCCACAGAUGACUGCUGGGACAUAAAGGCACAAUGAAUCGGUCUCCAAUGGUUCUCUCACCUCUGCGCUGACUACAGCUUUGGGUAGGUAUGACUCUCUGCACAGUUCCGUAUCUCAGUGCUCACGCUGGCUCUUUCUCUCUCUCUCUCCACAGGUGACUGCUGGAACACAAGGCACAAUGAAUCGAUUCUCCAAUGGUUCUCUCACCUCUGCGCUGACUACAGCUUUGGGUAGGUAUGGCUCUCUGCACAGUUCAGUAUCUCAGUGCUCACGCUGGCUCUUUCUCUCUCUCUCCACAGAUGACUGCUGGGACACAAAGGCACAAUGAAUCGGUCUCCAAUGGUUCUCUCACCUCUGCGCUGACUACAGCUUUGGGUAGGUAUGGCUCUCUUCACAGUUCGGUAUCUCAGUGCUCACGCUGGCUCUUUCUCUCUCUCUCCACAGAUGACUGCUGGCUACCGCUUCGAGGUAGGGAUGGCUCUCUGCACAGCUCUCACAACACACUCCUCGUCCCUGUUGAUUUGGCAGUUUUAACAGGUCAUGUAUUAUUUUAACAGAGUGGCGGACUUACGGUAACUGGCUGCGCGAUGCGUCAGCUAGACAGUGUUUUCCUAUGUGACGCCGGGGGCCAAAACCCUCACGGCAGGCUCGUUGGUCUACAGAGGGGCGAGGGCGUCACGCCGGCACACCGGGUCGAGCGCUGCCCUUUCCUCGAGACCCGUUGGUCGAUCGAAAACUGGACCGGGGCGCCCUUUCGUCGAGACCUCGGGCCGGCGGAUCUCCUUCGCCUCCAACUCUGUGAUGAUAAAAGGACACAGGUAAGGUAGCAAUAUUAUAGAUGAUACUCACACACCGUCGAUAGCACAGUUCUUCACCCCCACUCCUAAACUCAA